rnacentral:rRNA from 1 species
GAACCUCGAGUGCCAGGUUACAAAUCUGGCUGUCGAGAUGCCUAAAAAGCAUUUCAUAGCAAGGGCCGGGCAAGACCGGUGCCAGCCGCCGCGGUAACACCGGCGGCUCGAGUGGUAACCGUUAUUAUUGGGUCUAAAGGGUCUGUAGCCGGCCGGAUAAGUCUCUUGAGAAAUCUGGCAGCUUAACUGUCAGGCUUUCAGGAGAUACUGUCUGGCUCGAGGCCGGGAGAGGUGAGAGGUACUUCAGGGGUAGGGGUGAAAUCUUGUAAUCCUUGAAGGACCACCAGUGGCGAAGGCGUCUCACCAGAACGGACCUGACGGCAAGGGACGAAAGCUAGGGGCACGAACCGGAUUAGAUACCCGGGUAGUCCUAGCCGUAAACGAUACUCGCUAGGUGUCGGCCACGGUGCGACCGUUGUCGGUGCCGUAGGGAAGCCG